CAGCAACAUGAAUCAUCACCACUCCACCUAAAUUCCCUUUGCUUGUAUUCAUGUGACAGUUUAGGUUUAUUCCUCACACCACCUUGCACAGCUCUUAGAGGAGCUUCAAAAGUGGGUGCAAUGCAAUUCUUCCCUCCAGUUUCAUUGACAGUACAUCACUUGCUCUUCCUUCUGCAUGAUGAUGGUUUUAGAUCUGCCUUUGAGCCCUUCAAGCUACCAAAUUUGUGUGGCCAGACAGAUUUUGUAGACAGCUGAUUGAGCAUACCUUCUAAAAGUAGAUCACACAGAGACUUUGCUCCUUCUUCAAGCCUCCUGUGGAGAUUGCUAAAAAAUGAAGACUGACUCUCGAUACUUCCAGGAGCUCUCUGGGACAUGGUAGUGGAUUAGAGGCUGACAUCAUGAAAAGGAAGGCAGGAGAAAAGCAAGAAGGACAGAAAACAUUUGCAGUUAACUCAUGGGUGGCAGUUACAAACAAAACUGCAGAAGUUACAAGCUUGGCUCUGCUGCUGGGCUCUUCUUUUAACUCAUCUCCUCUGAAAACAACCAGUUUUUGAGGACUAUCAGAGUUGUGGAUUGAAACAUACUUUUCCAGAGUAUUCUCUUCCUAUGAUGAAAAUGAACCCAGAGGAAUAUAAGUGUCCUAUUCCCAGCAGCAGUGAUCCAUUUCCCUUGGCAACAUAUGUCUGAUGCCACAGAUACUACAAGGUCGUUGGGUUGCUUUACAACUCUGGGUAACUUCCCACGGCAACAUCAUACGUCUAGCACCAUGUCGUAGUGUUGUUGCUCUUUCUUCCGCCUGCCACAUUUGUUGAUAAGAACCAUGUACAAAGUCAAAAGCAAAACCCAGUAACAUGCAUAGAGUAUUGUGCCAAUGAUGAGAACUGUCUGUUUUGACUCAGAAAAUGGCUUUUUUGAUUCCUUGUAAAUAGUGAAAAUUACGCCACCUAGGAGGAUUGUAAACCAAAUGGAGACUGGAAUGAGUCCUAUAAAAUUAACUACAAUGGUUUUCCUUCCUGACGUGCCCCACCCUGCUUUGUUUAUCGUGGCAAUUGCAAACAUCUUUGCUGGCAGUAAACUUGACAUGUACAACACUGAGUAGAGUGACAUGAAAACCAUGACAAUGUUGCCCCUAAGGAAGCUGGCAAAGGAAGACUUUAUCAGGCCAACUAACUGAACUGUCAACAGGAAGAGGAGAAUGUUCCAGAUUUUUCCCCUGUAGAAGAGCUGAAUGACUGUGGCAAUAAGGAAGAAAGGAAAGAAUCCAGUGAUUACAGCUUCAUAGGUCAUCCACAAAUGGUGCUUGUGGAACCACAUGGCAUUAUAAAGCCACUCUCUAAAGUAGGAUUUACUCCAGCGGGUCUGCUGAUUCAGCCACCUGAGAUACUCUAUCGGUGUUUCCGUAAGGCACUUGGAUCUAGCUGUGUAUUUUGUUGCAUAGCCCAGACUUAGCACUCUGUUAGUUAGAUGCCUGUCAUCUCCAAAGCUGCACUGGGAGCCCAUAAACUCUUGAUUGUACCAAUCUUCCACAAAUUCAUGGAGUAAAGAGUUUCUGUACAUUCCCAGAGGUCCACUGAUGCACUGCACACAGCCAAAGUAGGAUUGACAGGCUCUUUCGAUGUUAAAUGCCAUCCAGUAUCUCACGCUGCUCAGAAAGGAGAUCCAGGAAUCAUAUUUGUUCAAAAUCUGCAAAAUAAAAAAAAAAAGUUUUCCUUUUAGAUGAGCUUUUAAAACAGAAAAUGUGCACAUUGGUUCAAUAAGGGAUUUGCUGAGACUAGAGCACCAUUAGAUGAAUUGUGGUGGGAACCUCACUCCUGUGUUCAACUCAUGGCAAACCCAUGAGGGAGCUACACAAACAUUUCCGCCAGGACACUGACAGGAAGGGUGAGAUGAAACCUUCAAAUGUCUGUUUCACCUAGAGGUUAUUUUUUUCCUUGCAACCUUUCAAAUUCUCCACAAUGAAAUUUCCUUAUUUUCUAUCUCAUUUUUCCUUCCCUUUUGCCCCCAGUUAGACCUGCUGGAUUUAGAUUUUACCAAGAGGAGCUGGUGAGUUCAUGGCCUCCUGCUGCUUUCCUGCCUGUACACACCUUCAGGGCUCACAGGACUCCUUCCAGGCCUCCCAAAAUGAUGCUGGAGCAUGAGAAAAGCGGAGUACAUGGUUUUUGCCCUCCAUUUUUAGUAUCACAAGUCUGGCCUUAGAGGUUUAACCUUGAACUGUGUCCCCAUAUCUAGCAUUCCUCUGAGGAGCAACCUGUUCUGUCUUUGCAGUACCAGCCUGUUACCUUGUCCCAAGACAUAUGGUGACACUCCAGUAGAGCCUUCCUCAGGCCCACAUAAAUGUCUCAGUCUUUCUCUUCUGUCCAUCCAGUCUGAACACUCAGUGGAUGCAUGAGCACAUGCAGAUGCACAAGUCUGUGGCUACACAUCCAGGUUCUCAACACACACCUUGUGCCAGAGGAUGUGACAAGGAAGUGUGCAGAUCUUUCGCCUUCUACAACUAUAAAGCACUGCCCUGCAACUAGGAAAAUAUAGUCUUUUGCUCUGAUGAUCCUAAUUUCUGUCAGUUUUAAUUCCAGAACAUAUUAGAAGAAGCAGGGCUUAGGGAUAGGCUCAAGCCUGGCUCAAAUGUGUUUGGUGUAUGCUGGAAAAUGAACUGAAAAGCCCAAAGCCUUCAUUCUGUCACCUUUCCUCACAGAGGAUACACAUCCUUCCCAAUGCAGAUGCUUAUGAACCUUCACUGUCACAGCUGAACCUGUACUGCCUCCCUUCACUUGUACUCACACAUGCCUGGAAUUUCACAUGCAUGGGCUGUGUCGCCUGGUUUGUGGUCAGUCUAGAGCUCCAAAGCUAUUCAGAUUUCUGUGGGAAUCCUAAUUUCUGGAGUUAUGAGCCACAUGCCUGAAAUACUUCUGACUACUUGGGCGUUCAUUAGCAAGUUCUUGCUCAUUUACAUAGCUCUUUCUCCUCUGUCUCACAAAAAAAGCCCAACUGAGUACGGGGGACUGAUCUUAAGGCUAACUGACAUAUUCAUACACAUUUCUCUUUAUAAAUUGCAGCAGGAGUUUUGUCAAAAGGUACCAACAGCCUUUUGCUGUAGUAAUCAGCCAAACUCAGUAAUGCUGAAAAUCCUAACACACAUGGAACUGGUCUGACUUGGAAGUUUUCUACUGCCCUGCCUGACAGAGAUGGGAGACCCAAUAACACAUAGAGUGCACAGUGCAGAGUGUUUCAAAAUUACUUUUUAUUUCUAACAAUCUUGCCUGCCAGUAGUAAUAUAAUUGAAGUGCUUGAGGUUGCUGGACAUGGCUAUGGGACACCUGCUGUCAAUUUCCUGGCCCCCUAUAGCUUUUCUUCAGUACCUUGAGCAAGCAGCUAUACCCAGAGACUGAAAGAUGCCACAACAAUCCUGACAAUACCUGUGCCCCCCUUUUCACAUAUAGGGGCAGAAUAUUAUUUGUUUGCUUGCUUUGGAUGUUAAAACUAUACAGUGCUCACAUCCAAGAAGAGUUUCCAUUCAAUGGACAAAAAAGUUAAGGUAUAUGCAUAUUAUAUAUAUGCAUAUAGUAUAUACACAUAAAUUAUAUUUAAUGCUAUUUCAGUCAGAGAAAUCUGUUGCAAUGCAAAUAGUUGCUGAAACACCUCUGUUAAUCUGAAAAUUGUUGUACUCACCUGCACAUCACCUCCAACUCCUCCGACCAUUGGAUCUUCUUCUAAAACUUUUACCAUCUCCACUGAUGAGGCUGGAUCAAGCAUUGUAUCUGAAUCACAGACCUACAAGUAAGAAAAAACAAGAACAAAAAUGGGUUAAGGAGUAGAUUACAGAAGAAAAUAAAAAUCAUGCAAGUAAUUAUAAUUACUCUAAAUGCAUAUUCUCCUGAAUGCAAUUAAAUCUGACUUUGAAGUCUGCACUGAUAUUUCUGUUAAAGGUCACUUGUACCAGGCAGCAAGGCAUAGUGCUGCACAAAACACAGAGCUUGUUAAGGCUGUGCACACAAACAAUCCUCUGUAUCAGCUCCAUUUGUUUUACUGGCACACUGGACUGGCUUCUUCGAAUAAGAUAUGGGGCACUGCAGAAUAAGAUGGUGUUUGUGGGUGUGCAGCAGAUUCCUGUUGUGCUCCGACACAGAGUUUCUCUGCAUCAGCUGCACAGUUGGAGCACCCUGGUCAAAUGUUUCCCAUUGCCAUAUGAGGGAAAGAGUGAGGAGUUAAAUCCCAGGCACUUGUUAUUAAAAGGAAAAAAGUCAAGUAGGAGUCUGGGAAGAAACCUAAUCGUUCUUUCACUCACAGAAGGGUUUAGCAAUUCAUGUAAAAUAUGUGUCUUAUAUUUCAGAACAAACUCAUUUUUAAUUUUAGAUUCAUGAUGUGUUAUUAGUAGUGCAGGGAUUUGACAUUUGAUGUGGAGAAAUUAUUUGCUGUUUUUCUCUGGCAUUCCUAUAAAAAGAUAUGUAAGGCCAAAGGCGUGAGUCCCAAAGUUCGGUACUCCAAAAGAGCACUGCAGAAGUAAAUGACACACAAGGCAUUUCAGCUACACAAACACUCCUAGUCAACUAAACACUGUGUACAUUAGGAAAUUGGCUUUCCCCUGGAGAGUAGGAGGAGGGCUCAGACAGGCUGGCUGGUCUGUGAGACAGCUGGCAUUGCUUUCGUUCGCUCUGAGGAGAAUGACUUGGGCUGCAGCCUGUUUAAAACAAGAGGGUGUCUCCUUGUUGCAGUUACUGCAGCUGAAAGAACUGGCCACAUCGUGUGUGAACUCAUUUCACAGACACCCAGGAACUGGAGCAGAGACUGUCCCAGAAACACCCCUCUGACUGGCUGAAUCCCACCCUACAAAUUCUCAUACUGCCUCCAGUUUGUCCCUACAUUGCAUUCCUGUGACUUCAGACAGGGUCAGUAGGAGCAAGUCAGCAGCUCCGCCUAAACAGCAUAUUAAGACAGAUUCUGCUGAGGCUUUGUAAUGGGUAUCCUAAUUUUGGUGUCCUUUCAUGCAACCUUUCAAUUCAACCUAAGCCCUCUCACUCCAGGGGAGAGGUAACCUUUACAUCUACCCUAUGAAGUGGGAGGAGAGCACUGGGGCUUUGCUCUGGACCAGACUCAAGAGGAGAGGUUAUCCAGGAUAGUUGGACUGCAUAGUUUCGGAUGCAGCUGGGACUCUGCCAGCAUGCUCCCCUCCAUGCUCACUCAGAGGGGGCCAAAAGGAGAAAGGUGAUGAAAGCUCUCAUAUCUCUGUCAGGAGAAAAGCCACAAGCAUCUCCAGCUCCCACUAACUUGAUGCAUCCAUCUCCCCUCCUCAAUGGCCUCAUCCCACAGCAUCUUUGUAACCUGGCCAAGGCCUGACUCCACCUUUAGUGGAAAGCUGUCAUCAGUGGCAGCACUGGGAGAUAGAAAGGGAACAAAAUAGUUCUACUGAAGAGGGAAAACAAUGCCUAUACUUUUACUUGGGUCUUCCUGGACAAACUUGUUGCUGAGUGCUUUGCACAAGCAAUCUGUAGUUUGCUGAAUUUCCAGGGUGUUCAGGCAGUAACAGGCAUGUCAUUUCUUGUGACCAUGAGUGGUGGGCUGGUAUCACCUGCCUCCUAGUCCCUCUGCUUUCCCUCCAGCACCUGCCACUUGAGCAGCUCCCACCCCAUUAGAUGUAUUUACCUUUGGCAGAAAGGCCUGCCCAUGAGCCACAUUACUAAUAUAUUAGAGAUGAGGAAUCCUGAAAACACUGGAUUUUUUUAACAAAACACCAUCGCAUGUCCUGCGCAUGUCAGCACAGUGGGUAUGUCUGGGUUUCUGAGACAAAUCUAACAAGCCAUCAUUUUCCAUCUGGAUGAGGUUUUUGCAGGUGAAUAGAAAAUACACCCAGAGAAACACAGACACUUAGAAGCCCAAAUAAACACUGACACCUGCCUAGCCAGGGUGUGCCCAGGAGACAAUUUGCCAUCUUUCCACAUAAGAGCUGAGUGACCCAAACAUCACUACUUUGGGUCACAGAGUUACAUGAAGGGGACAACUGACCUUAAGGGAGCUGUUCUUUUACUUGCUAUAGGCAAUGAUGGUUUGGCCAAGCUGCUCUGAGUUCAGACUGCACUGGACUGUCCACACGGGCACCUCCAUCAAGCCAAGAUGAAUUGCACUCUGGUUAGCUCACAACUCUGCACUGAUAAUACCUGCCAGUUUAACUCCUCCACCUGAUUACUUCCACAGUCAUAAACCCUUCUAGGAUGGAAACAAGCCUUCAUAGCAGUUUUCAGUUUCAGUUUUUAAUGAGACACCACUACUGAGGAACAGCUCGUUAUCUGCACUGGUCUGACUGUUUAUGAUUGCCUGUUCAUAAUUCCAGGAUGUCUUCUGAGAACUGUAAGGCCUACAAUUUUGAGAGUGGGCAGUGGUGCUGACUGGCCACUUUUAAAAGUGCUUAAUCAUUGAUACAGACUGCUUAACCCUUGAAAUAUAGGGCUUGUUUAAAGUAAUUUACCCUGGGUCUCCCCAAAGGACCAUUUGAAAUAUCUCAACCUUUAUUCAUUCAUAAAACAGAGCCACAUUUUAGCUGCCUUUUCUUAUGACUCUGCGGUAGCCAGGGCCACUAAGGGGCUGCAUUUCUACUACAGAUGUGACUGUAGAUGUGACUGUGGCAUCAGUCACUACUGCAGACUGUGCUCACAGCAGCACUACAGUCUCUGACAAAUUCAUUAGACCUUCUGAGCCAGGUCUGGAAUGUUAACUGAAUAGAAAUAUCUCUUCUAUUUUCUGAAUUUAUGCUAUGACUGUUGAAGUAGAAAUACUUUUUCCAGGUUCCCUGAAAAACACAAGAGCUGAACUGAGGGAGGAAACUUGCAAUGAAUCUGCUCCCUCUCUGCCUUCUUUCUCUGCAAUCUGGAAUGUCUGUGUGAUUAUAAACCCAUGCUAAUAAAGAAAAUCAGCAUUUUUAUCCCAUCAUAGUUCCUCACAGCACAAAACCAAGGCGCAGACAAUGGAGAGCUUAAGCUCAUUGUUUUGAAAGAAUAAAUCAGUUUCAGUUUGGGAAGUGGUGGAGGAUGGGGUUUAAAUCUUGGCUUUACUCUCCUUGCUCCAAUAACAGAGCAGUUCCUGGCACUCUUCCGUUUCUGCCCCUCCUGUGCACUGAGGACUCGCUGCUCUCAGCCCAGCUACUGGCAGCCCCUCCAGGUCCCUGGGACACUGCACGUGGAUGCUGUGCUGUGCAGAGCGUGCACACACACCCACACAAGGCUGGGCACAGGCCCCAGGAACACAUGUGGCUCACCCUGCAGCUGCCCUGAGCCAGCAGAGAGCACCUCACGGGGAGCUGCUGCUCCACUGCAGGAGACUGCUGGAUGCUCUGAGUGUGGGAGAAGCUUGGAAGCACUGAGGGUGGUUCAUUGGGAAAAUAAUGUCCUAUUCAGUGGGAUUAGUCAAAUAAGCCUUCUUGGCCUAGAUUUCUAAGGAAGGGUCCUCAGUGUCCAGCCAGAGUAUCUGAUCCCACCCGCCUUCCUCCACACAUGAACCUUUCCCCUUCCCACAGUCAGCAGGGCUGUUUGCAGGAGCGAGGAACGCUUCCAUGUAAGUAAGGCAAAAACAUAGACAAUCUUUCAGGGGAUCCAAGGCAGCUGGAAAGAAAUGUGCCUCUGCUGCUUUGGAAACAGGGAGAGAGGACCCAGCCUAAUUCAUUUUUAAGUGAGUAGUGUGUCAUAAGGGCCUUAAAGGCCAAGUUGCAGUGAGUGAGGUAAUGCAGCUGUGAUGAAGGAAAAGCUCCUUCAGCCUUUAGCUGAAGAAAUUUUCUUUCAAAUCUACACAUUGACCCUUUUAUUGAACACUCCACAUGGCCUUCAAAGCCUUUAAAAUAUAUCUCCAUCUUUUUUACAGACUUCACCACUUCUCCAAGAUAUUCCCUAGUGAGACCAAAUACCUGUCUGUCUGCUCGUAUAUGAGGCUGCUAACAAACUCACAAAAUAAAGCCUUACCUGAGACCUUCACCUACAGGAGCGGAGAUGGGGCUUUCGGGAGGUCAUUGGCUUUGUCUGAAGCAAAACCAUUUAGAUGAGGGGGCAGUACUGAAGGCACCUUCACCUAACCCAGUGGAGCUGAACCCAGUAUGAGUUUUACACAGCCUCCAGCAAGCAGACCCAAGUAAGGUUUGCAUGCACAAGGUUUGAGUAACCAAUGUGGAAAGAAUUCUAUGGCUUUAGGUUGGAUCUGACCCUCAUGUACACAAUAAUACACUAGUUGUUAAAUGAAAAGAAAAGAAAAGAAAAGAAAAGAAAAGAAAAGAAAAGAAAAGAAAAGAAAAGAAAAGAAAAGAAAAGAAAAGAAAAGAAAAGAAAAGAAAAACCAACCCAAAAAAAUCCCCAGACAAAUGGUCCAAGAAACAAAACAGAAAGUAAAUCAUAUUUCUACUCAGAUAUUUUACAUUGUGGUUAAACAAAAAUCUAGCAUAGGAAUGUUUUCUGGUUGCUGAUUAGGAAUACUUUGCUGCUCUAUACACUAAUCUUGAAUAGCAAAAAAAUGGAGCAAAUAUGCUUUCAUGUCACAAAUAUGAAGACUUGAGUUUUUCCUAGUGAACUUGCCUGAAAAACUCCACUGAAUCCUGUAGAGCAGCUCUUCCUACUGGGAAAACCUUGACCCAGGUUUUUCUAUGCUUGGAUGCAGGGUAAGAAAGAUUUAUUACCCUUAUCUAGUCCUCAAAAGAACCCUCAAGGCACCCAUGUUACACACAAUGUGUGCUUUCAAAAAACUGUAUGGGUGCCAAUGGAAAAAGGCGGAAGAUUAUGAAGCAGAGUGAAACAUGGAGAAGCAGCUGUGCCCUAAGAGAUGUAGGGUCACUGCAGCCCUGCAGAAUCACAGAACCCUUAGGGUUAGAAGGGACCUGUGAAGAUCGUGGAGUCCAAGACUCCAGGUAUGGUCACUAGAGCAGGUGACACAAGAACGUGGCCAGGUGGGUUUGGAGUGUCUCCAGAGGGGAACACCCCACAACCUCCCUGAGAAACCUGUUUGGUGCCCUGCCAUCCUCAACGUGAAGCUCUUCCUCCUGUUGAUGUGGAACUUUUGGCCUUAGUUUAAGGCCAUUGCUCCUCAUCCUGUCGCUGGGCACCACGGAAAAGAGUCCGGCACUGAUCCUCUUGGCACCCGCCUUUGAGAUAUGUAUGUGUACUAAUGAGAUCCCCUCUCCGUCUUCUCUAGACUAAGACACCGCCCAUCAGGAGCGCUGCACUACAAUGGGAUCCUC